rnacentral:rRNA from 1 species
UACGUAGGGGGCUAGCGUUGUCCGGAUUUAUUGGGCGUAAAGAGCGUGUAGGCGGCCAUACAGGUCAGCUGUGAAAACUCGAGGCUCAACCUCGAGACGUCGGUUGAAACCGUAUGGCUAGAGUCCGGAAGAGGAGAGUGGAAUUCCCGGUGUAGCGGUGAAAUGCGCAGAUAUCGGGAAGAACACCUAUGGCGAAGGCAGCUCUCUGGGACGGUACUGACGCUGAGACGCGAAAGCGUGGGGAGCAAACAGG